GCAAAGGCUUUGUCUGCUUUGUUUCUACCCAAAAUCUACAGCAGAUUUUGAAAAUCCAUGUUGCUUUGAAUCAAAGCAUUAUUUACAAUAUUUCCCAGCCCAACAAGGACCAGAAUCAUCUUGGUUGCACCAAUGACAUAACUAGACUGGCAGAAAUGAAGGCAGUUGCAGCAACAAGAUGUAAAGGCUGUGGGUCCAUUGGCAGUAAGAAAAGAGAUAAAAGGGUGAGAAGCUGGCUAACUUGGACAUUCUCUGAAGAUGCCAGCCACAGAUGCUGGCGAAAUGUCAGGAAGAAACUUUUCUGGAACAUGGCCACAUAGCCCGAAAAACUCACAAAAAACUUUGGACAAAUAAGCAUUAGUUGCAGUAACAACGGAGAGACAAUACACAGAACAUCCAGCUGCCCACAAAGAAAACUUAUACUGUAGUUACCAAGAUAGAGUCAAACUGAGCCUAGCAGAAUUUGCCCAUCACCAACGUCACAUACAGGGAAUU